GCAAGUCGAACGAUGAACCACUUCGGUGGGGAUUAGUGGCGAACGGGUGAGUAACACGUGGGCAAUCUGCCCUGCACUCUGGGACAAGCCCUGGAAACGGGGUCUAAUACCGGAUACUGACCUGCCUGGGCAUCCAGGCGGUUCGAAAGCUCCGGCGGUGCAGGAUGAGCCCGCGGCCUAUCAGCUUGUUGGUGAGGUAAUGGCUCACCAAGGCGACGACGGGUAGCCGGCCUGAGAGGGCGACCGGCCACACUGGGACUGAGACACGGCCCAGACUCCUACGGGAGGCAGCAGUGGGGAAUAUUGCACAAUGGGCGCAAGCCUGAUGCAGCGACGCCGCGUGAGGGAUGACGGCCUUCGGGUUGUAAACCUCUUUCAGCAGGGAAGAAGCGAAAGUGACGGUACCUGCAGAAGAAGCGCCGGCUAACUACGUGCCAGCAGCCGCGGUAAUACGUAGGGCGCAAGCGUUGUCCGGAAUUAUUGGGCGUAAAGAGCUCGUAGGCGGCUUGUCACGUCGGUUGUGAAAGCCCGGGGCUUAACCCCGGGUCUGCAGUCGAUACGGGCAGGCUAGAGUUCGGUAGGGGAGAUCGGAAUUCCUGGUGUAGCGGUGAAAUGCGCAGAUAUCAGGAGGAACACCGGUGGCGAAGGCGGAUCUCUGGGCCGAUACUGACGCUGAGGAGCGAAAGCGUGGGGAGCGAACAGGAUUAGAUACCCUGGUAGUCCACGCCGUAAACGGUGGGCACUAGGUGUGGGCAACAUUCCACGUUGUCCGUGCCGCAGCUAACGCAUUAAGUGCCCCGCCUGGGGAGUAC
rnacentral:rRNA from 1 species